AAAUUCAAUGUUUAGUCCCAGAUAUUGACUGUAGAAUGACAUGUUAGUGUCAUGGUUUUGGCUGAUACCACCAUUUCUUUUCCUUGCUGCGCCUUUUCUUCAGUUAUUACGGCCAUUGGUUUUUUCGUGCGCCUUUUCUUCAGUUAUUAUGGCCAUUGAGUUGAUUGAAUUAUACACGUGCAAAUUUCUUUUUACAAUUUGCACCUGUUGGCGUUCUAUUUAAACCCCGAGCAAGCCGAUAAGCUUUGCUUCAGUGUCACUUACGUUGCACGAGAGCCGGUAAUCUGUCAAGCGAGGUAAAGGUAAAGGUAAAGGUAAAGGUUUGCGAUUUUGGAUUGUUGUGGCUAUAAAAUUAGCACAACAGUCUUUAGCUUAUUAAGUUGUUGGCAACAAGGUAGUGCCACAACCUAAACUCAGAAUUCUUUCUUUAGGGUGUUACUUUUUCAGCCUCGGUACGAGGUCUGUUUUCUUUUAGUUGCUCAGUUUUCUGCUCCGGCAGUUUUUUUUUAGUUUCAGAAAGUUCAUACUCCUUAAGCUUUAGUUUUUUUUACCCAGUACGUGGGUUGUGUAGAGCUUUUCUUUGAGAUACUCUCCCUAAGGAGUAUUGUUUUCCUUUCUGUUAUUUUUCCGCUGUCCUUGUCUCUUGAGACUUUGUGGUUAUUCUACCUCUGGUGAAUAGCUUAAAGAGCCCCCUGUUCAGUCACGGUUGGUCUCCCAUA